CACCGGUUGAGAGCAAGUCAUUCAGCCAGCCCGAGGCAAGAGUUUGAGAAGCGUCUCUCUCCGUCCACCUGCCCGCAGAGUUCACAGUUGCACUUCCUAACCAUGUCUGCGGUGGCUUCUCUGCAAUAAGCAAAGCAAAGGUUAUGCUGCCCAAAAGUUGCCUGAGUCCCAGCGAGAAAGAGAAGGGCUAACCCCUGCCGUAACUCAUCCCCCAACAGUUUCCCG